UGAAUGGGAAGCAGACGGAAAUUUG
rnacentral:piRNA from 1 species